UCCAGGAGCUUGAAUGUCCAAACUAUCCGGAGCAGAUGACAUGGUGUUCUCGAAAUGAGAUCUCCAGAACAGAGGCUUCUCAAUAUCUUUCUCCAAAGAUUAAAGAACCGCUGUGAUGUUCAUUUGGCAUUUGCUCUUCCCCGGAGAGCCUAGGAGACUACAUGCCCUGGGAGAGGCCAGCUGCCAAGCCUUGAGCAAUCAUAUGAAGAGGGCCCAGCCAUAGCCAAUUGAGUAAACUUAAAAUCAGAACCUCCAAGCCAGUCAAUCCUCAAAUGAUUGCAGCCUUGACUAUCAUCCUGUCUGCAGUUUUAUGAAAGACUCUGAACCAGAAACCAGCCAGAUACUCAGAAGUCACUCCUCGUGUAAGUGGAAGUUUGUACUCUUUGACCAGUAUUUCCUGAUUUACCUCACUCCCCAGCCUUUGCUCAGAAUGAAUUACUAUGAACAAGUGGUAAGUCAAAGAGUAUGCUCACUUUUAUCUUUAACAAUUUUAUACCACUUAUGCUUCUACUAUUCAAGGGCUGUUAUUCAUUUGUUCAUUUAAAUAAUGUUUAAUGGAUGCCCACUCUGAGUCAGGCACAUGCUCCAUGGUAGGGUAAAUGAGUGAGGAAAAUAGACACAAUAUCAGACCUAUAGAUGGAAAUACAGUAUAAUAGAGGAGAUAGGUGGUUAAUCAAAUAAUUACAUCCUAAUAUAUACCAUGAAAAAGCAAAGUAAGGCUGAAUAAGAACAUUUAGCAGAGACACUUUAUUUAGAGACAAGAUGUUUCCCUGAAGAGGUGACAAUGAAACCAAUGUCUGAAAGAUGAAUAAAAGGACGGAUUGAUUAGUUCAAGUGAGAAAGGGCUAAGAAGCAAGAGUUCCAGGGACAGGAAGCAUUCAGACUUUUGCCAAGACUUAGCCAGUUUAUAUCAGAAAAAGUGACAAUAUUGUUAAUUGUAAAAUUAGCAUUUUCCCACUGCUCAGAGAAUUGGAGGACUGGGGAAAGAUUAAAUUAGUUAUAAAGAAAAAAGAAACUGCCUUUUCUUUGUAUGAUGCAUACAUAUUUAAUCCCAUUAUGACAUAGCCAACUCUUUCUUUUUUGUAUGUUUCUUUGAUUACUGGUGCAAUUUACUCAUUUAUAAAUUAUCUGGGAAUGUCCUAUGCCUGCUAUGUUAUUAACAUCAAUUUAAAAAUAAAUUUAUAUGUAAAUAUAUUGACCUAUUGUCACAUUUUAUAAGUAGUUUCCUUCUAGAUUUUGAGGGAAGAUAAUGCUAUUAUUGAUAUACGGAAGCUUCAUUUCAUGCAGUCAAAUCUAUCAUGUUUCUUUUAUGCUUUAUGACUUGGGUAUCAUAUUUAGCCUUUCCCUACUAAGAUUACACAAACACUCUAACCCUUUCUUAUGUCUACUGUUGGAAGUACUUUUGUUUGGCUCACUGAAAGGAAUUAUUACUUCUCAGAAGGUGAUUUAAUCUUGAGUUAUAUAUAUUUAGGCAUUAUUAACCACAUAGCCUUAACCCUUUAUAACCCUUAGCUAACCCUUUAUUAUCCAUCUAUAUGAUCUAGUAAGUAAUAUUCAUACAUGCAGAAAAUGACUUGAAAACUAACACCAUUCUGUAAAUGCAAUGAAAUAGCCUAUGGCUGCUGUUCAAUACCAUGUGUUGGCACAUACUUCCAAGUAGUUAUCCACCUUCACGGUGGAUUUGCACCAACAGUCUAUGGUGUUGUGAUGGAAAGAAACUAAGCUCCUGCCAAGGAUUUUGGGUUCCGUCUCAAGUCUACUUUCAGUAGUGUGAAAUUUGGGAUGUGAGUUUGACAUCUGAGCUCCUAAUUAAAGAAAAAUUAAUAUCAUGCCUCACCUAUUGCAAGGAUUAUAUUACAUUAGCUCAUUCAUUCAUCAGGGAUUUAGUGAUUAUUUUGGCAUUUACUAUGCUAGUCUCGUGGGAAUGUGCAUACAUUAAAACAAAAUCAUACACUUGAGAAACAUUGUGAAGCCUCUAAAUAAUCAUUUGUAUCAAAGUUUGGUGAGAUCUAUAUGAGAGAUAUAAUCUGGAAGCUGAGGGAGCACAGAUGGAAAGUACUUAGAUGAGACAGUGAAAGGUAUGGAAACAUUUUUAGACAAGCUGAUGCCUUGGCUGAAUACUCCAAAAGGGCUAGAGACAGUCUCUUGAAGAGUAAUGGAUUAGGGUGUCUCUAGCCAACAUCCUGAUAUAAGACAUAGUGUUUUCGAACUGCGAAUAAAUUCCUAUGGUAGAGAGGAGGUUCACAGUGUGUGAAGAGACUGAAGAGCUUUGGAGGUUUUUACAUGACAGGUAGAUAGUUUGGACUCCAAAUGCUACAGAGAGUUACUAAAGAUUUUUAGCUGCCAAGUCACAGAAUCAGAAGGACAGAAAUAAAGUCGCUUUCAAAAGUUAAAAAAAAAAAAGAGCACACCACUAUAAGAUGUUAAUGUGUUAGUCACCAAAUUUGGAAAUGUUGAAGAAAAUCCAGGAAAAUGAAAGACUGACUCUAGAAAAAUAAGAAAAUCCACAAUAUAAAUAGUAAUGUUUUAAUAAUUAGUUUUAAAUGGAAGAGUUCUAACUGUGCAAAUUCUGAGGACAUCUGGGUAGCUCAAUCAAUUGAGCAUCCAACUCUUGAUUUUGUCUCAGGUAAUGAUCUGAGGUUUGUGGGAUCAAGUCCUGCCUUGGGC